rnacentral:sRNA from 1 species
GGGGCAUUGCAGUUUUUCCUGUGUUUGGUUUCCAGGAAUUACAUGAACGACAGCCUUCGCACCGACGUCUUCGUGCGGUUCCAGCCAGAGAGCAUCGCCUGUGCCUGCAUUUAUCUUGCUGCCCGGACGCUGGAGAUCCCUUUGCCCAAUCGUCCCCAUUGGUUUCUUUUGUUUGGAGCAACUGAAGAAGAAAUUCAGGAAAUCUGCUUAAAGAUCUUGCAGCUUUAUGCUCGGAAAAAGGUUGAUCUCACACACCUGGAGGGUGAAGUGGAAAAGAGAAAGCACGCUAUCGAAGAGGCAAAGGCCCAAGCCCGGGGCCUGCUGCCUGGGGGCACACAGGUGCUGGAUGGUACCUCGGGGUUCUCUCCUGUCCCUAAGCUGGCCUGGAGUGCAGUGGCGCUAUCUGGGAUCACUGCAAGCUCCGCCUACGAGAUUCUGGUGAGUCUUGUGCCUCACCCUCCCAAGUAGGUGGGAUUACAGGCGCCCACCACCACUGGAAUCCCCCAAAGAAGGUAAAGGGAGCAAGCCUUCCCCACUGUCUGUGAAGAACACCAAGAGGAGGCUGGAGGGCGCCAAGAAAGCCAAGGCGGACAGCCCCGUGAACGGCUUGCCAAAGGGGCGAGAGAGUCGAAGUCGGAGCCGGAGCCGUGAACAGAGCUACUCAAGGUCCCCAUCCCGAUCAGCGUCUCCUAAGAGGAGGAAAAGUGACAGCGGCUCCACAUCUGGUGGGUCCAAGUCG